UAGGAAGGUGUGGGAAAUACACUCUCAUGCAGUUCUGAUGAGAAUAGAAAUUUGUAUAAUCUUUCCAGAGACUAUUUGGCAACAUGUAUUAUAUCAAAAUUUAAAAUAUUCAUAUUCUUUGUUCAUUAAUCCGACUCUGGAAUUUGUCCUAAGAAGAUAAUCUGAAAAGUAUUCAAAGAGUAUACACUUAAUGAAAUAAUAGUAUUUAACAAAAUUUGUUGUUAAGUUAUAUAAAUUACGGUAUAUAUGAACAGUGGAAUAUCAUUUAAACAGUAAUUUUGGAGUAGGAUUUUUUAUCUAAAAAUGUUGAUUUUCCUUAUUGCUCUCAGGCAUUUGCAUUCUACACUUACGUGGAACAAAGUAGAGAUCUUCUAGAAGAAUGUGACCAGAAUGCCAACUAACAAACAUCUUGUUUAUUAUCUUUCUUCCCCAUUAGAGUGUAAGCUCCACAUGGACAGAGACUUGCUCUAUUGCUCUUGGCCAUAUAUUCUCAGUGCUUAGAGCUAGGGUUAGCAUACAGUAGGUGUUUGAUAAAUAUUUGUUGAAUGAAGAAAUAUUAGAAAAGAGGAUUCAAGCAUCCAACUAGGUGAACUCCUGUGCUUUACAUUUUACAGGCUUCUUAUGUCAUUUGUAAGAAAUUGUCCCUUCAUGGUACAGGCCCUAUUUUCCUAAUGAUAAAUGUCAUUGUAGUGUGGUAUGUGUUAGAAUUUAGAAAACAAUUUCAUAAGCAUUAUUCAGUGAUAUAAAUAAGACGACUGGCUUUUUCUUAUCUGUAAUGUCUCAGCUUAGAGAGUUCCUCUGUAGAGCAUAUGUCCAUAACUUCACUAAGAUAUCUCCUAGUUCAUCC
rnacentral:lncRNA from 1 species